rnacentral:tRNA from 1 species
GGAGGUGUGGCUCAAGGGGAGAGCUCUUGCCUUACAAGUGAGAUGCUGUGACUUCAAACUCCACUAUUGCCC